rnacentral:rRNA from 1 species
ACACUGCACGCACGUGCGAUAAGGGGACUCCGAGUGCGAGGGCAUAUCGUCCUCGCUUUCGUGUACCGUAGGGUGGUACACCAACAAGGGCUGGGCAAGACCGGUGCCAGCCGCCGCGGUAAUACCGGCAGCCCGAGUGAUGGCCGAUCUUAUUGGGCCUAAAGCGUCCGUAGCUGGCUGCGCAAGUCCGUCGGGAAAUCCACUCGCCCAACGAGUGGGCGUCCGACGGAAACUGCACAGCUUGGGACCGGAAGGCUCGAAGGGUACGUUCGGGGUAGGAGUGAAAUCCCAUAAUCCCGCACGGACCACCGAUGGCGAAAGCACUUCGAGAAAACGGAUCCGACAGUGAGGGACGAAAGCCAGGGUCUCCAACCGGAUUAGAUACCCGGGUAGUCCUGGCCGUAAACAAUGUUCGCUAGGUAUGACACAGACUACGCGUCUCUGUUGUGCCGUAGGGAAGCCGAGAAGCGAACCGCCUGGGAAGUACGUCUGCAAGGAUGAAACUUAAAGGAAUUGGCGGGGGAGCACA